rnacentral:rRNA from 1 species
UUCCAGCUCCAAUAGCGUAUAUUAAAGUUGUUGCAGUUAAAAAGCUCGUAAUCGAAUUUCGGGGUUAGUAGGCUGGUCAUGCCUCCGGUAUGUACUGGUCUCACUGAUUCCUCCUUCCUGAUGAACCGUAAUGCCAUUAAUUUGGUGUUGCGGGGAAUCUGGACUGUUACUUUGAAAAAUUAGAGUGUUUAAAGCAAGCUAACGCUUGAAUACAUUAGCAUGGAAUAAUGAAAUAGGACGUUCGAUCCUAUUUUGUUGGUUUCUAGGAUUGACGUAAUGAUUAAUAGGGAUAGUUGGGGGCAUUAGUAUUCAAUUGUCAGAGGUGAAAUUCUUGGAUUUAUUGAAGACUAACUACUGCGAAAGCAUUUGCCAAGGAUGUUUUCAUUAAUCAAGAACGAAAGUUAGGGGAUCGAAGACGAUCAGAUACCGUCGUAGUCUUAACCAUAAACUAUGCCGACUAGGGAUCGG